rnacentral:rRNA from 1 species
UACGUAGGGUGCGAGCGUUAAUCGGAAUUACUGGGCGUAAAGCGUGCGCAGGCGGUGAUGUAAGACCGAUGUGAAAUCCCCGGGCUUAACCUGGGAACUGCAUUGGUGACUGCAUCGCUCGAGUAUGGCAGAGGGGGUAGAAUUCCACGUGUAGCAGUGAAAUGCGUAGAUAUGCGGAGGAACACCGAUGGCGAAGGCAAUCCCCUGGGCCUGUACUGACGCUCAUGCACGAAAGCGUGGGGAGCAAACAGG